UACGGAGGGUGCGAGCGUUGUCCGGAAUCACUGGGCGUAAAGGGCGCGUAGGUGGCGCGGCAAGUCAACGGUGAAAGCUCGACGCUCAACGUCGAGUCGGCCGUCGAUACUGCCGCGCUGGAGCACUGUAGAGGCUCAUGGAAUUCCGGGUGUAGCGGUGGAAUGCGUAGAGAUCCGGAAGAACACCGGUGGCGAAGGCGGCCCCCUGGGCCGCGCCUGACGCUGAGACGCGAAGGCUAGGGGAGCGAACGGG
rnacentral:rRNA from 1 species